UACGUAGGGUGCAAGCGUUGUCCGGAAUUAUUGGGCGUAAAGGGCUCGUAGGCGGUUUGUCGCGUCGGGAGUGAAAUCCACUGGCUUAACUGGUGGCUUGCUUUCGAUACGGGCAGACUGGAGGUAUGCAGGGGAGAACGGAAUUCCUGGUGUAGCGGUGAAAUGCGUAGAGAUCAUGAGGAAGACCAGUGGCGAAGGCGGCUUCCUGGCCUGUAACUGACGCUGAGACGCGAAAGCGUGGGGAGCGAACCGG
rnacentral:rRNA from 1 species